UCUCCAUGCUUUGGAGGGAGAAAAGGGACCAGUCGUGUGAGAUCUUGGGCGGAGAGGCCAUAGGCUGCUUCCCCAGACAGGAGAUUAGAAACACAACUAAGCAGAGGGCAGUUUUGAGUUGCUGAACAAGGAGAAGGUAACUCAAGUUGAGGGCAGAUUUAGGAUGCUGAACUAAGAGUAUUGGGAAGGGCAUGCUAGCCAGGGGAGAUUAGAAGUGCCCAGCAACUGAGCCAAUAAGGCAGGUUGAAAAUAAGCUAGUGUGUGUGUGUAUGUGUAUGAGAGUGUGUGUGUGUGUGUGUGUGUGUGUGUGUGUGCGCGCGCGCACAUGCGCGUGUGUGUUCCACAGAUCUGCGGGAACCUGGGCGGGGCUUGUAGCCAGGUCCACCCUGAGCUUAAACGAGGGUAGCAAAAGCUUCACCCUACACUACAGCUUCUCGAUGAAUUGCCCUGCUUGGAAAAACUGCCUCUGAAUUCUGCAAACUUAACUUCACUGACUACACGAACUGAAUGGAACUGAACCCAACUGCAUUUAACUGAACUGCAUCGAACCGCACUGAACUGAACUCAACUGAACUCCGCUGCAUUGCCUGAACUGCACUGAGGGACACUCACUGAACCACCCUCCCCUCCUAACUCACUCUGUGUUGCUCUUAACUGGUCUCCCUUUCCUGUCUGUUCUCAUGAAGCUGGGCAUUUCCCAUCUCUGACUCAUUCUGUCAAAUCUUUCUCUGAUUUGCCACUUUAUCUGUCACUCAAUUAGUCAUCACUUUCAAACAUGGCUACUUCCUUAACAAACUUUACCUUCAUUUGGGGGGUGGGGAUCAAGGGUGAGAACUAAGGGUGUGUCUGGAUUCCAGCCAGAGGGAUUAAGGGUGUGUAUUCCAGCCGGAGCACACAGAUCUCAGUCUUUGGAUAUACCACCUUUAAAGAGUAGCCAUGUUGCUGGAUUAAAAUUCUUCUCCACUCAUGAAA